CAAGUCGAGCGGAAACGAUGGGAGCUUGCUCCCAGGCGUCGAGCGGCGGACGGGUGAGUAACGCGUAGGAAUCUACCCAGUAGAGGGGGGAUAGCCCCGGGGAAACUCGGGAUUAAUACCGCAUACGCCCUAAGGGGGGAAAGGCCGGGAUCUUCGGACCGGUCGCUAUUGGAUGAGCCUGCGUAAGAUUAGCUAGUUGGUAGGGUAAAGGCCUACCAAGGCGACGAUCUUUAGCUGGUCUGAGAGGAUGAUCAGCCACACUGGAACUGAGACACGGGUCCAGACUCC
rnacentral:rRNA from 1 species